rnacentral:rRNA from 1 species
GACGAACGCUGGCGGCGUGCCUAAUACAUGCAAGUCGAACGCAGUGCGGACGGGUGAGUAACACGUGGGUAACCUCCCAUCAGAGGGGAUAACACUUGGAAACAGGUGCUAAACCCAUACUGAUGGAUGGACCCUCGGUGCAUUUGCUAGUUGGUGGGGUAACGGCUCACCAAGGCCACGAUGCAUAGACGUUGUGAAAGGGUGAGGGGCCACCGUGGGGUUGAGUCCCGGCCCUGACCCCUGGGGGAGGCAGCAGUAGGGAACCGUCGGCAAUGGAGGAAAGUCUGACCGAGCAACGCCGCGGGUUGGAAGAAGGUUUUAGGAUUGUAACACUCGGUUGUUAGAGAAGCGGUAUCGAACCAGAAAGGCACGGCUAACUACGUGCUAGCAGCCGCGGUAAUAC